UCUCCGUUGGUGAACCAGCGGAGGGAUCAUUACCGAGUUUACAACUCCCAAACCCCUGUGAACAUACCUAUCGUUGCUUCGGCGGGAAAUGCCCCGGCGCCCUCGGGCCCGGACUCGGGCGCCCGCCGGAGGACCUAAACUCUUGUCUCUGAUGUGUAUCUUCUGAGUGACACAAGCAAAUAAAUUAAAACUUUCAACAACGGAUCUCUUGGUUCUGGCAUCGAUGAAGAACGCAGCGAAAUGCGAUAAGUAAUGUGAAUUGCAGAAUUCAGUGAAUCAUCGAAUCUUUGAACGCACAUUGCGCCCGCCAGUAUUCUGGCGGGCAUGCCUGUUCGAGCGUCAUUUCAACCCUCAAGCCCCCGGGCUUGGUGUUGGGGAUCGGCCCCUCCUCUCCGGGGGGGCCGGCCCCGAAAUCUAGUGGCGGUCUCGCUGUAGCCUCCUCUGCGUAGUAGCAACACCUCGCACUGGAACGCGGCGCGGCCACGCCGUUAAACCCCCCACUUCUGAAGGUUGACCUCGGAUCAGGUAGGAAUACCCGCUGAACUUAA
rnacentral:rRNA from 3 species